UGGAGAAACGAUCAACAAGUAUUUCAACAAAGUGUUGAAAGCAAUUAUCAAACUUUCAAAAGAGAUAAUCAAACCACCGUCCUUUGAUGUCAUCCCAUAAGAAAUUCUUAUGGAUCCUAGUCAUAAGCGCUACUUCAAGGACUGCGUAGGUGCUAUGGAUGGCACCCAUAUAAAUGCUAUUAUCUCGGUGUCUCAGCAGGUUCGAUUUAGAGGCAGGAGAGGGACUACCACUUAGAACGUGUUGUGUGUUUGCUCAUUUGAUAUAAAAUUUACUUUCGUGUAUGCUGGAUGGGAAGGAUCUGCCAAUGAUUGUCGAGUGCUUUCGGCAGCACUCGAAACUCCUCAAUUGCAAUUUCCCCGACCACCACUUGGGAAAUACUAUGUGGUAGAUUUCGGUUAUGCAACACUUCCGGGAUUUUUAACUCCAUUUAGAAAGGAACGGUAUCAUCUCAGCGAAUAUAGAGGGAGUGGGAGACGGCCAAGAACAGCAAAAGAGUUAUUCAACUAUAAGCAUUCUUCACUAAGAAAUGUAAUUAAGAGGUCAUUUGGGGCAUUAAAGAAUCGCUUCACCAUUUUGAGACAUAUGCCUCCAUUUACAAUUCGGAAGCAAGCACUUGUUAUAAUUGCAUGUUGUGCUCUUCAUAAUUACAUUUGUGAUCAAGAUAGGAUGGACAUAAUUUUUUCCAUAUAUGAAGAUCCGGAGUAUCCAUUUGGACCUACAGAAGUCGAGGUUGCAGAUGAUACAUCGGAUGAGCAGGCAUCUGGGAUAAACAUGCUUAAGAUAAGUAUUGCAAAUAAAAUGGCAAAGUAUCACAAUAUGCAUGAGAUUUGUUGACUUUUGUAAUAUUGUUUUUAAGUAUUCACUGUGAUGAAGUUGAACAAUGAACUAUAUUGCUUCAUUAUUAUGAUGUCAUGUAUGGAAGGGUUCAUGUUAAGAUGUA